rnacentral:lncRNA from 1 species
AGAUCUAAAAAUCAAUGAAAUACACUUUCAAGAGCAAUAGAAAUUAAAGUAGCACCAAUCAAAAUUAACAUUUAUGUGAUAAGCAACCUAGUUGUCAUCAAUGUGUUAACAUACGAACAGAGAGACAUGAGGAAAUUUGAUAGAACAAGAGCAUGUAUAGAGUUACUUCUAGUGUUGUAUGUGAUCCAGCAUGCUUUUGUUAUACAAACGAAAAUAUACC